rnacentral:rRNA from 1 species
AGAGUUUGAUCCUGGCUCAGAACGAACGUUGGCGGCGUGGAUGAGGCAUGCAAGUCGAACGUGAAAGCUUCCUUCGGGGAGUGAGUAAAGUGGCGAACGGGUGAGUAACACGUAAUCGAGCUACCCUCGAGACUGGGAUAACCGCGGGAAACUGCGGUUAAUACCGGAUAGUCACCGAGUGCUGCAUGGCACUUUGUGUAAAGGUUGGGAUCCUCCGGGACCUUCCGCUCGUGGAGGCGAUUGCGGCCUAUCAGCUUGUUGGCGGGGUAACGGCCCACCAAGGCGACGACGGGUAGCAGGCCUGAGAGGGUGGUCUGUCACACUGGGACUGAGACACUGCCCAGACUCCUACGGGAGGCUGCAGUCGAGAAUCUUCCGCAAUGGGCGCAAGCCUGACGGAGCGACGCCGCGUGGAGGACGAAGGCCCUUGGGUUGUAAACUCCUGUCACGGGUUAUGAAUGGAGUACGGUUAAUAGCCGUGCUAUUGACGUAUGCCCGAGAGGAAGCACCGGCUAACUCUGUGCCAGCAGCCGCGGUAAUACAGAAGGGUGCAAAC